CUCGAUCAGGAGUUCAAGAUCAGCCUGGGCUACAUAAAGAAUUCAAAACCACUCCAGUGCAUAUGACAAAACUCUGUGCCCCUCCUCCUCCAAAAAAAAGGUGUGUACCUUUAAUCUCAGCAGAGGUAGGCAGAUCUCUGUGAGUUCCAGACCAGCCAAGGCUACAUAGUGAGACUCUUGUCUCCCAGACAAAAAAACAAAAAAGAGAGGACAGAAAGAUGAAAGAGAACAGCAAGAUGCUUCAGUGGUCAAAAAAUGCUUGCCACCAAGGCUAAUAACCUGAACUCCAGUGAGACCAAGGGCCCCUUUCCUGCCCCUGGUGGCACCACAGCAUAUAUGCUCACCGUCUUCAUGUCCCCAUCUUUCCCCAGUCACCUCUUCCACCCCACAUGUGUCCUUCAGGAUGUGACGGCAGAGAUAUUGUCUGGAAAGGUCUGAGGCACCCUCUGGGGUCAUAGGUAAGGGGGCUUCCCAGAUGCAGGCGGUGGGUGGGAGCCAGGAAUUACGACACCUAGCAGCCAAGCUUGUGGGUGAGUGGGCAGUGGCUGCUGUGGUGAGGACGGAAGGGUUUGUGGGAAAUAUGGCUGACAGAAAUAGCUGAGGUGCUGUGCACCUGCAGCCUCAGAGCCUGCUCUCCCAGGGUCUGUCCUGCAGACUGCUGGCUGGCCACCUGUCUCUUUGCAGGCUUUGAGUCACUUCCUGUGUUUUCCUUUCCCCCAGGUGUGCUCUUGACUCAGGCCCUGUUUCCUGUCACUCCCUGUCUCAGGAGCAAGGACAAGGCCCACCUAAGGGUCAAGACAAAUGUCAGGGUCCUUGUCCCUCCUGUCCUUGAAUCUGUAACCACAGCUAUAAGGAAUGCCAAUUCAAAGGUUACCCCAGCCAGUUCCCUGCAUUUAAGCAACUCAGUAACCCUGACCCUCCCCUCAAUGGAAAAAGGCUGCAGGGCCUGGACCCAGCACCAACUCUGGCUCCUUCCUGAACUCCAGUCCUGCAUCCCAAGAUGUUCAGCAAGGCCUUCCCUCACCUGCCAAUCAACGAAACCUCAACACCCCACCUGGGAGCUGCAGGAAUGAGUGUGUGGCUGAACUCUGACUAAUCAGACCCAGAAGCAGGUUCUAGAAACCUGUCAGGCAAAAGUUUUCUUCAUCUUAAAGACAGAUCUAGACAAAGAGAUGGCGUUUCUGCAGCCUCUAGGCACAUCACCUCACGGUCUGAUCUCUGGAGCUUCAGCAGCUUUUUACAACCUCGAGGACAAGGAAAGAUCCUACACCUUGAAGAUAGCAGAGAAAGAGACCAGACCAAAUGCCUGAAAGUACAAAUCAUCAGGCCUUUCCUUUCCCUUCUUGACUGUCAAUGCAGCGUGAACAGAUGCCUGAAGCCUCUACUGUUGUGCUUUUCCUCCAUAACCGACUGUACCCUCAGAGUGUACAGAAAGACAUUGUAUCUUGCUAGAGGAUAUCGGCCUACAGCCAAUGGAACAGCCAGGUUGGAAAGAAAAUACCCAUUUCCCUAGCUGUUUAUAGAUAAGAACUUGAGUGUGAAUUUGAGUCCAUCAAUUCUAUAACCCACAUAUGAAGUUUGAAAGAUGUUGAUGAGACAAUUUUUGCUAAUCAGCAUAUAUCUGACCACAUGGGACUGUCUUUAGUAAUUUUCAAGACCAGAUAAAAUGAAAGGGGGAUAGGGACUAGAAAAAUCACUCAGCAGUUAAAAGAACAUAUUGCUCUCGAAGAAGACCUGGGUUCAGUCCCCCCACCCAAAUGGCAACUUACAAUCAUCUAAAACUCCAGUUUCAGGUGGAUCUGACGCCCUCUUCUGGCCUCCAAAGGCACUGCUCAUAUAUAGUACACAUAAAUACAUGCAGGCCAACAAAGACUUAGACACAUAAAAUAAAAAUAAAUCUUUCAGUGAGAGAGAGAGAGAUCUGUUUGAAGAUGCUGUAAAGCAAUAAAAGCGAUUUAUUAGGCCUUAAGGAGCCUCUACUAAUGUUUCUCGAAGGGAAGUUUGUUGGCUGUCAUCUAUUCCAUUAUAAACACAAGUAGACUCCAAAACCAGUAUGAAGGCUAGCUUACCCUGACAUCACUACUCAUUAAGACACCACUGGGGAUAGUACUGUAACUUAUUUUAUUUACUAAGAAUUUUUCUUUACUCUGUGUGUGUGUGUGUGUGUGUGUGUGUGUGUAUGUAUGUGUGUGUGUGGCUUUCAGAGGCCAGAAAACGGUGUUGGAUCCCCUGGAGGUGGAGUUACAGGUGGCUGUGAGCUGCCUGAUGUGGGUGCUAGGAAUUGAACUACAGUCUUCUGGAAGAGCAGCCAGUGUUCUUAACUACUGACCACCUCUCCAGCCCAGGUGUAAUUGAGGUGUAAUUGAGGUGGUUGUUGAGACAGGAUCUUACUGUGUAGCCCUGGCUGGCCUAGAACCCACUAUAUAGGCUGACCUUAGAUUCAUAGAUGUAACUGUGUUUUGACAUCCAGGAAUCUGGAAAAUGGAAUUCAAAGUAGGUCCAUUAUAAACACAUAGUCUGAUGUCCAGAGUGAAUCUUUUAUCCAGUUAUCUUGAAUAUUUACCUUUUUUCCCUUUGUGGUACCUUGUGCAUGCUAAUUGGGUAUCCAAGUGGAUAAAAUUCUUUAGGGAAAAAAAAAAAACUUCCUUAGAAAAAAGAAAAGAGAAGAUGACGGAGCAACAUCUGGUCAGUUGCCCCCAACACACCCCUCAGGAUUUCUUUUCUUAGGUAAUAAUAACUUCCUGUACUGUCUUACCCAUUUCAGUUUCUACUACUUGCAGCCAAAGGUCCCUGAUAUUACUGGGAACUUUGGAAACCAAAUGAGUCGUAUCAGCAUGUGGGGUACAUGGUCACUUACAUUUCAAUCAUGAUCCAGAGAACAAGCCAUGGGAGGGCUGAGGAAAGCCAGAGAGGAGUCUGGGGACUGAAGGAGAGGCUCGGAGAUGUUCUGCAGAGUGUUUUUUUAUCAUCAUCCAUGCUGCUACAAGGUACAGAAAUGCCCAUUCAUAGGAAACUGGUUAAAUGAAUUACAGUGUAUCCAUAGGGUGGUCAUAGACCCCCACAAAUAGGAGACACCAGCCAAGCAGGAAUUAGAUGGUGCCACACAGUGGGCCUCCACCAAGAACCUUCCCCUCCACCCUGGGGGGUCUCUGCCAAGCUCCCCCUUAGGUUACUCAUUUCUCCCUCAACUCUAACACUGCUGCUUCCCUCUGGGGGACAGAGAGCCCCAUUUCUAUGUCUCAGGGUCAUAAAGACCCAGGUUAGCAGUCAGGAUGGACAUCCUGGGCCCCAGAGGGAAAGACCAACUGCUGAAGAUAAAGGAGAUGGUGUAGAAAAAAAAAAAAGGCAAGGAGUCUGGAGAACCGGACUUCCAGCAGGGUGUCAUGACAGCCAAGCA
ensembl:lncRNA